AUUGAACGCUGGCGGCAGGCCUAACACAUGCAAGUCGAGCGGAUGAAGGGAGCUUGCUCCUGGAUUCAGCGGCGGACGGGUGAGUAAUGCCUAGGAAUCUGCCUGGUAGUGGGGGAUAACGUCCGGAAACGGGCGCUAAUACCGCAUACGUCCUGAGGGAGCAAGUGGGGGAUCUUCGGACCUCACGCUAUCAGAUGAGCCUAGGUCGGAUUAGCUAGUUGGUGGGGUAAAGGCCUACCAAGGCGACGAUCCGUAACUGGUCUGAGAGGAUGAUCAGUCACACUGGAACUGAGACACGGUGCAGACUCCUACAGGAGGCAGCAGUGGGGAAUAUUGGACAAUGGGCGAAAGCCUGAUCCAGCCAUGCCGCGUGUGUGAAGAAGGUCUUCGGAUUGUAAAGCACUUUAAGUUGGGAGGAAGGGCAGUAAGUUAAUACCUUGCUGUUUUGACGUUACCAACAGAAUAAGCACCGGCUAACUUCGUG
rnacentral:rRNA from 1 species